GGGUUGUGAGGUUAAGCGACUAAGCGUACACGGUGGAUGCCCUGGCAGUCAGAGGCGAUGAAGGACGUGCUAAUCUGCGAAAAGCGUCGGUAAGGUGAUAUGAACCGUUAUAACCGGCGAUGUCCGAAUGGGGAAACCCAGUGCAAUUCGUUGCACUAUCGUUAACUGAAUACAUAGGUUAACGAGGCGAACCGGGGGAACUGAAACAUCUAAGUACCCCGAGGAAAAGAAAUCAACCGAGAUUCCCCCAGUAGCGGCGAGCGAACGGGGAGCAGCCCAGAGUCUGAAUCAGCUUGUGUGUUAGUGGAACGGUCUGGAAAGUCCGACGGUACAGGGUGAUAGUCCCGUACACCAAAAUGCACAGGUUGUGAACUCGAAGAGUAGGGCGGGACACGUGGUAUCCUGUCUGAAUAUGGGGGGACCAUCCUCCAAGGCUAAAUACUCCUGACUGACCGAUAGUGAACCAGUACCGUGAGGGAAAGGCGAAAAGAACCCCGGCGAGGGGAGUGAAAAAGAACCUGAAACCGUGUACGUACAAGCAGUGGGAGCACCUUCGGGUGUGACUGCGUACCUUUUGUAUAAUGGGUCAGCGACUUAUAUUCUGUAGCAAGGUUAACCGUAUAGGGGAGCCGCAGGGAAACCGAGUCUUAACUGGGCGUUAAGUUGCAGGGUAUAGACCCGAAACCCGGUGAUCUAGCCAUGGGCAGGUUGAAGGUUGGGUAACACUAACUGGAGGACCGAACCGACUAAUGUUGAAAAAUUAGCGGAUGACUUGUGGCUGGGGGUGAAAGGCCAAUCAAACCGGGAGAUAGCUGGUUCUCCCCGAAAGCUAUUUAGGUAGCGCCUCGUGAACUCAUCUUCGGGGGUAGAGCACUGUUUCGGCUAGGGGGUCAUCCCGACUUACCAACCCGAUGCAAACUACGAAUACCGAAGAAUGUUAUCACGGGAGACACACGGCGGGUGCUAACGUCCGUCGUGAAGAGGGAAACAACCCAGACCGCCAGCUAAGGUCCCAAAGUCAUGGUUAAGUGGGAAACGAUGUGGGAAGGCACAGACAGCCAGGAUGUUGGCUUAGAAGCAGCCAUCAUUUAAAGAAAGCGUAAUAGCUCACUGGUCGAGUCGGCCUGCGCGGAAGAUGUAACGGGGCUAAACCAUGCACCGAAGCUGCGGCAGCGACACUUAUGUGUUGUUGGGUAGGGGAGCGUUCUGUAAGCCUGCGAAGGUGGCCUGUGAGGGCUGCUGGAGGUAUCAGAAGUGCGAAUGCUGACAUAAGUAACGAUAAAGCGGGUGAAAAGCCCGCUCGCCGGAAGACCAAGGGUUCCUGUCCAACGUUAAUCGGGGCAGGGUGAGUCGACCCCUAAGGCGAGGCCGAAAGGCGUAGUCGAUGGGAAACAGGUUAAUAUUCCUGUACUUGGUGUUACUGCGAAGGGGGGACGGAGAAGGCUAUGUUAGCCGGGCGACGGUUGUCCCGGUUUAAGCAUGUAGGCGGAGGUUCCAGGUAAAUCCGGUACCUUUUAACGCUGAGGUGUGAUGACGAGGCACUACGGUGCUGAAGUAACAAAUGCCCUGCUUCCAGGAAAAGCCUCUAAGCAUCAGGUAACAUUAAAUCGUACCCCAAACCGACACAGGUGGUCAGGUAGAGAAUACCAAGGCGCUUGAGAGAACUCGGGUGAAGGAACUAGGCAAAAUGGUGCCGUAACUUCGGGAGAAGGCACGCUGGUGUGUAGGUGAAGUCCCUGCGGAUGGAGCUGAGACCAGUCGAAGAUACCAGCUGGCUGCAACUGUUUAUUAAAAACACAGCACUGUGCAAACACGAAAGUGGACGUAUACGGUGUGACGCCUGCCCGGUGCCGGAAGGUUAAUUGAUGGGGUUAUCCGUAAGGAGAAGCUCUUGAUCGAAGCCCCGGUAAACGGCGGCCGUAACUAUAACGGUCCUAAGGUAGCGAAAUUCCUUGUCGGGUAAGUUCCGACCUGCACGAAUGGCGUAAUGAUGGCCAGGCUGUCUCCACCCGAGACUCAGUGAAAUUGAACUCGCUGUGAAGAUGCAGUGUACCCGCGGCAAGACGGAAAGACCCCGUGAACCUUUACUAUAGCUUGACACUGAACAUUGAGCCUUGAUGUGUAGGAUAGG
rnacentral:rRNA from 1 species